UAUGUAAUCAACGCUGUGCUCCAAACGCCGGGUGCUUGUGUUGCUUGGGCUCAUAUUAUCUGUCGUUCAUCUGUGUGCGUCCUGAAUGUAGGACACAAAAACGCUACAGGAACUCAAAUCACAGCUGCUGUUUUAUUUUAUUCAUGUGCUCUUGGAGUAGCCGGGGUGUUUCAGCCAAUCAGGAAAAGGGAUUGCUCAGGCCACUGGCUUGCUGGACAACAUGCCAUAAAUGUUGGGUCACUGAGAGAGAACCCUGUGUUUGUGAGAGAGAACCCUGCGUUUGUGAGAGAGAACCCUGCGUUUGUGAGAGAGAACCCGGCAUUUGUGAGAAAGAACCCUGUGUUUGAGGAAUUCAGAGAUUAAAAAUAGACAUAUUGUACAGUAAGAGGCGCAGGGUGAAGGCUGGAGCAGUUGAGUAAUGUGGCAGUGACAGUGACAGAGCCUCUGCCUUACAGCACUGCCCAGCAUGCUGCCUCGCUGUGCCAGAAAUAAUUGGCUCCUCUCUUUUGGUUCUCCCCCUCGGUGGCACGUUCACUGUGCCAGGUGAGGAACAGAAAGAGAGACUCACAAAAAAGAAAAUUUACAUUACAACAGGCGGAGAGACCUUUCACUUGGAGGGUUAAGAAAAUAACGAAAGCAGAAUGUGGAAGUAGAAUUUAAUUGUACCUGUUGCUACAGGUGUGUGUACCUGUAGCCCUCAGGUGUGUGUACCUGUAGCACAGUCUGCACUCUGUGACCCUGGAGGUCUGCCAGGCGUUGGCAAACAACAGGAAGCUCUGUCAACGGCCCAGGGGGCGGAGCUACCCUCCCAGCCUCCAGGCUGUGGCAGCUUCCCUGUAUGCCUCAUUUUUCACGAAGGGACAUGCUAAUUGUGCUAACCACUAACAGCUUGCUAUAAUAAGAAUUGACAUUGGCGGUCAUAUUUAAAUGGGAGUAUACGGUCAACA